CAGAGCGUCUGAACACAGAUCUCAGAUCAGCACAAACAGCAGCUCACCAUCAUCAUCUUUAUCAUCAUCACAUCAUGAUGAAGAUUCUGGCUCUCGCUCUGCUGGUGGCGACUCUUCAGACUCUAGCGAAUGCUCAGACACAACCCCCCUCAAGCACAUCUACUACAUCAGUUUCUCCAGCUUCGACAGUUUCUACAGCUACUACAACUAGAGCUACUAUAUCGAUCAGCAAUUCCACAUACAACUCCACCAAUGGUCUUUCGGUCCUGAUGGCUCCGAUCCACCUGCUGGUGCUUCCAGUCUCCGUGUUUCUCUGGUGGCCCUGAGAAAACCUGCAGAUUCGGCUCCUCUUCUCUUUCUAAUGCUGUUUUUUCAUGAAGGGUUAACUACUGGAAUUAAUAUUAGACAUGAAUACUGUAAACUAUAAGAAAUUAAAGCCAUUUUCAUAAAAAAUUUGGACUGUGACUGAUUCUCAAAUGUUAAUCUGAAACAUUUAUUCUGUGUGUUUACAAGCUGAUUAUACUGCAUUCAUUUGUUAUUUACUGUAAUUACUGUAUGACUGAAUAAACAAGCAUGUAGUGUUAA